rnacentral:rRNA from 1 species
AUUGAACGCUGGCGGCAGGCCUAACACAUGCAAGUCGAGCGGAUGAAGGGAGCUUGCUCCUGGAUUCAGCGGCGGACGGGUGAGUAAUGCCUAGGAAUCUGCCUGGUAGUGGGGGAUAACGUCCGGAAACGGGCGCUAAUACCGCAUACGUCCUGAGGGAGAAAGUGGGGGAUCUUCGGACCUCGCGCUAUCAGAUGAGCCUAGGUCGGAUUAGCUAGUUGGUGGGGUAAAGGCCUACCAAGGCGACGAUCCGUAACUGGUCUGAGAGGAUGAUCAGUCAGAUGGGGACUGAGACACGGAGCAGAGGCGUAUGGGAGGAAGCAGUCGGGAAUCUUAACCAAGCGGGGAGAGCGUGAGGAAGCGAUGACGCGUGCGGGAUGAAGGUCUUGGGGUUGUAAAACGCUUUGAGCAGGUACGAGGCGAAAGUGACGGAACCUGCAGAAGAAGCACCGGCUAACUACGUG